rnacentral:rRNA from 1 species
UGGGGAAUAUUGGACAAUGGGGGCAACCCUGAUCCAGCCAUGCCGCGUGAGUGAUGAAGGCCUUCGGGUUGUAAAGCUCUUUUGGCGGGGACGAUGAUGACGGUACCCGCAGAAUAAGCCCCGGCUAACUUCGUGCCAGCAGCCGCGGUAAUACGUAGGGUGCGAGCGUUAAUCGGAAUUACUGGGCGUAAAGCGUGCGCAGGCGGUUUUGUAAGCCAGAUGUGAAAUCCCCGGGCGCAACCUGGGAAUGGCAUUUGGGACUGCAAGGCUGGAGUGCGGCAGAGGAGACUGGAAUUCCCGGUGUAGCAGUGAAAUGCGUAGAUAUCGGGAGGAAUACCGAUGGCGAAGGCAGGUCUCUGGGCUGACACUGACGCUCAUGCACGAAAGCGUGGGGAGCAAA